GGGAAUAUCCACAUCAGAAUGGCAGAGGCACACUUACAAUUAGGUCAGAGACAGCCAGAAGGACAGGUACGCCUGUAUCGAGGUCAGAGAUGACCAGAAGGUCAGAGAGGUACAGAGAUGACCAGAAGGACAGAGUGGUACAGAGAUGACCAGAAGGGCAGAGUGGUACAGAGAUGACCAGAAGGGCAGAGAGGUACAGAGAUGACCAGAAGGGCAGAGUGGUACAGAGAUGACCAGAAGGGCAGAGUGGUACAGAGAUGACCAGAAGGGCAGAGAGGUACAGAGAUGACCAGAAGGGCAGAGUGGUACAGAGAUGACCAGAAGGGCAGAGUGGUACAGAGAUGACCAGAAGGGCAGAGUGGUACAGAGAUGACCAGAAGGGCAGAGUGGUACAGAGAUGACCAGAAGGACAGAGAGGUACAGAGAUGACCAGAAGGUCAGAGUGGUAGACCUGCAAGGAAAUCACAGAUGGUCUGAAGAACAGAGAAGGAUACCAGCACCA